rnacentral:rRNA from 1 species
UACGAAGGGGGCUAGCGUUGCUCGGAAUCACUGGGCGUAAAGGGUGCGUAGGCGGGUCUUUAAGUCAGGGGUGAAAUCCUGGAGCUCAACUCCAGAACUGCCUUUGAUACUGGAUGUCUUGAGUCCGGAAGAGGUGAGUGGAAUUGCGAGUGUAGAGGUGAAAUUCGUAGAUAUUCGCAGGAACACCAGUGGCGAAGGCG